rnacentral:snRNA from 1 species
AUCUCUUCUAGGCCUUUUGGCUAAGAUCAAGUGUA